CCCUCGAUAGCUCAGUUGGCAGAGCGGAGGACUGUAGUUGUUACAACGGUGAUCCUUAGGUCACUGGUUCAAAUCCGGCUCGAGGGA
rnacentral:tRNA from 1 species